GAGAGCAGCUCCGGUGGAAGGUCUGGGCAGAUGACAACUUCAGAACACCGCACAAUGAGGAGAUGAAGGCAGCAGUGAAAGAUGUGGAACCAAAUUGGAGUUUCCACCAAGUUAGAAGAGCUGGUUAUCGAGCUAUUGACAGUCUCAAGUGCAAAGAGAGAGAAUGGAGAUGGAAGCAAGAAGGGGGUCAAAAGGAGGACCAGUCAGCAUGAUCAGGUGAGUUGUCCUAUUUGUGACCUUGUUUCAUUUACUCAGGUCAUGCAUGGUCCAAUUGAACUGUGUAUGUAUGUGUGCGUAUGUUGUUUCCUCUAAUUGAUCUGCCAUAUAUAAAAGGAGCCAACGCAAACUAUGUCAGCGACGAGGAAAGUGACGAUGACAAACCAUCUUAUUAUCAAGCCUCGCCAAAGUGGCGGUCCACUAGGCUAACCAGGGUGAUGCUGAAAUGCCAAAAAGCCUGGAAUGAAAACUGGAGGAGUGGAAUUGAGCCAAAAUUACGCAUUAGACACUCAGCUGGCUUUACUGAAAGAAACCCACCACCAGUCAAGAGCUGCUAUCUGGCAGAAGAGAAAAAAAGGAUGCAUGUUUGUCUGUGGUUUUUGACUUAUUUAUUUAUUUUGUAAUAAAAUAUUUUUGAGUAA